rnacentral:rRNA from 1 species
GGUAUAGACCCGAAACCCGGUGAUCUAGCCAUGGGCAGGUUGAAGGUUGGGUAACACUAACUGGAGGACCGAACCGACUAAUGUUGAAAAAUUAGCGGAUGACUUGUGGCUGGGGGUGAAAGGCCAAUCAAACCGGGAGAUAGCUGGUUCUCCCCGAAAGCUAUUUAGGUAGCGCCUCGUGAACUCAUCUUCGGGGGUAGAGCACUGUUUCGGCUAGGGGGUCAUCCCGACUUACCAACCCGAUGCAAACUACGAAUACCGAAGAAUGUUAUCACGGGAGACACACGGCGGGUGCUAACGUCCGUCGUGAAGAGGGAAACAACCCAGACCGCCAGCUAAGGUCCCAAAGUCAUGGUUAAGUGGGAAACGAUGUGGGAAGGCAUAGACAGCCAGGAUGUUGGCUUAGAAGCAGCCAUCAUUUAAAGAAAGCGUAAUAGCUCACUGGUCGAGUCGGCCUGCGCGGAAGAUGUAACGGGGCUAAACCAUGCACCGAAGCUGCGGCAGCGAUACGAAAGUAUUGUUGGGUAGGGGAGCGUUCUGUAAGCCGUUGAAGGUGAACUGUGAGGUUUGCUGGAGGUAUCAGAAGUGCGAAUGCUGACAUAAGUAACGAUAAUGCGGGUGAAAAACCCGCACGCCGGAAGACCAAGGGUUCCUGUCCAACGUUAAUCGGGGCAGGGUGAGUCGACCCCUAAGGCGAGGCCGAAAGGCGUAGUCGAUGGGAAACAGGUUAAUAUUCCUGUACUCGGUGUUACUGCGAAGGGGGGACGGAGAAGGCUAUGUUGGCCGGGCGACGGUUGUCCCGGUUUAAGCAUGUAGGCGGAUGUUCCAGGUAAAUCCGGAACGUCACUAACGCUGAGGUGUGAUGACGAGGCACUACGGUGCUGAAGUGACAAAUGCCCUGCUUCCAGGAAAAGCCUCUAAGCAUCAGGUAACAUCAAAUCGUACCCCAAACCGACACAGGUGGUCAGGUAGAGAAUACCAAGGCGCUUGAGAGAACUCGGGUGAAGGAACUAGGCAAAAUGGUGCCGUAACUUCGGGAGAAGGCACGCUGAUGGUAAGUGAAGCGACUUGCUCGUGGAGCUGAAAUCAGUCGAAGAUACCAGCUGGCUGCAACUGUUUAUUAAAAACACAGCACUGUGCAAACACGAAAGUGGACGUAUACGGUGUGACGCCUGCCCGGUGCCGGAAGGUUAAUUGAUGGGGUUAUCCUCGCGGAGAAGCUCUUGAUCGAAGCCCCGGUAAACGGCGGCCGUAACUAUAACGGUCCUAAGGUAGCGAAAUUCCUUGUCGGGUAAGUUCCGACCUGCACGAAUGGCGUAAUGAUGGCCAGGCUGUCUCCACCCGAGACUCAGUGAAAUUGAACUCGCUGUGAAGAUGCAGUGUACCCGCGGCAAGACGGAAAGACCCCGUGAACCUUUACUAUAGCUUGACACUGAACACUGGUCCUUGAUGUGUAGGAUAGGUGGGAGGCUUUGAAGUGUGGACGCCAGUCUGCAUGGAGCCAUCCUUGAAAUACCACCCUUUAAUGGCUGGUGUUCUAACGUGGGCCCGUAAUCCGGGUUGCGGACAGUGUCUGGUGGGUAGUUUGACUGGGGCGGUCUCCUCCUAAAGAGUAACGGAGGAGCACGAAGGUCAGCUAAUCCUGGUCGGACAUCAGGAGGUUAGUGCAAUGGCAUAAGCUGGCUUGACUGCGAGCGUGACGGCGCGAGCAGGUGCGAAAGCAGGUCAUAGUGAUCCGGUGGUUCUGAAUGGAAGGGCCAUCGCUCAACGGAUAAAAGGUACUCCGGGGAUAACAGGCUGAUACCGCCCAAGAGUUCAUAUCGACGGCGGUGUUUGGCACCUCGAUGUCGGCUCAUCACAUCCUGGGGCUGAAGUAGGUCCCAAGGGUA